rnacentral:rRNA from 1 species
CCAGCAGCCGCGGUAAUUCCAGCUCCAGUAGCCUAUCCACAUGUUGUUGCAGUUAAAAAGCUCGUAGUUGAAUGUCUGGGAUUUGAGUCAGCCGCACCGCGGCGACUCUGCCCGCCUCGCCUUUGGCGCGUUUACUGUGAAAAAAUUAGAGUGUUCCAAGCAGGCCUAGCCUGUAUACCUUAGCAUGGAAUAAUAACAUAGGACUGUCUGCGAUGUUGUUGGUAGCAUCCGGUGGUAAUGAUUAAUAGGGGCGAUCGGGGGCAUUUCUAUUCAGCAGCUAGAGGUGAAAUUCUUGGAUUUGCUGAAGAGAAACUGCUGCGAAAGCGUCUGCCAAGGGCGUUUUCAUUAAUCAAGAACGAAAGU